AGUGGCGCACGGGUGCGUAACGCGUAUGCAACCUACCUUUUAUCUGGGGAUAGCCCGAAGAAAUUCGGAUUAAUACCGCAUAUAAUCACUUGAGGGCAUCUGAGGGUGAUGAAAGAUUUAUUGGUAAAAGAUGGGCAUGCGUACCAUUAGCUAGUUGGCGGGGUAAAGGCCCACCAAGGCGACGAUGGCUAGGGGUUCUGAGAGGAUGAUCCCCCACACUGGUACUGAGAUACGGACCAGACUCCUACGGGAGGCAGCAGUAGGGAAUAUUGGGCAAUGGACGAGAGUCUGACCCAGCCAUGCCGCGUGCAGGAUGAAGGCCUUCUGGGUUGUAAACUGCUUUUAUCUAGGAAGAAAAUACCCUUGCGAGGGGAACUGACG
rnacentral:rRNA from 1 species